rnacentral:rRNA from 1 species
CAGCAGUCGCCACGGUAAUACGAAGGGGGCUAGCGUUGUUCGGAUUUACUGGGCGUAAAGCGCACGUAGGCGGAUCCUUAAGUCAGAGGUGAAAUCCCAAGGCUCAACCUUGGAACUGCCUUUGAUACUGGGGAUCUCGAGUUCGGGAGAGGUGAGUGGAACUGCGAGUGUAGAGGUGAAAUUCGUAGAUAUUCGCAAGAACACCAGUGGCGAAGGCGGCUCACUGGCCCGAUACUGACGCUGAGGUGCGAAAGCGUGGGGAGCAAACAGGAUUAGAUACCCGCGUAGUCCCUGUCUCUUAUAC